GGGGUAUACUUAAAGUCAUGGACCUAAGUUUUGUUGUUAUAUUAAGUGUCUCUGUUAUGUGCUGUGAAGCAUUCAUUUAUAAAUGUCUUUUCUUUGUUUGUUUAGAUUUGGUCAUUGAGCUUUAUCUCUGGAGCAAUUCUUGAGCAUUACGAGCACUACAAAUUCUCCACUGCACAAUAUCCAAUCUAUUCAAAGAACAACCUACAUUCUUCUCUGCAGUUGAACGCCUGGUUUGGGAUUUUCUCAGAGCAGCAGUUCUUCUGUAUUGUUCUCCACCCCACACCCACCCCCACUCCCCAAACACCCAACCCCGCCCCUAACACC